GUCCAGACUCCUACGGGAGGCAGCAGUGGGGGAUAUUGCACAAUGGGGGGAACCCUGAUGCAGCGACGCCGCGUGGGUGAAGAAGUAUUUCGGUAUGUAAAGCCCUAUCGGCAGGGAAGAAAUUGGACGGUACCUGACUAAGAAGCCCCGGCUAACUACGUGCCAGCAGCCGCGGGAAUACGUAGGGGGCAAGCGUUAUCCGGAUUCACUGGGUGUAAAGGGAGCGUAGACGGCCAUGCAAGCCUGGAGUGAAAGCCCGGGGCCCAACCCCGGGACUGCUCUGGGAACUGUGCGGCUGGAGUGCAGGAGAGGUAAGUGGAAUUCCUAGUGUAGCGGUGAAAUGCGUAGAUAUUAGGAGGAACACCAGUGGCGAAGGCGGCUUACUGGACUGUAACUGACGUUGAGGCUCGAAAGCGUGGGGAGCAAACAGGAUUAGAUACCCCGGUAA
rnacentral:rRNA from 1 species